rnacentral:rRNA from 1 species
GGUUGCGAUCAUACCAGCACUAAUGCACCGGAUACCAUCAGAACUCCGUAGUUAAGCGUGGUUGGGCGAGAGUACUACUAGGAUGGGUGACCCCCUGGGAAGUCCUCGUGUUGCAACCU